GACGAACGCUGGCGGCGUGCUUAACACAUGCAAGUCGAACGGAAAGGCCCUGCUUUUGUGGGGUGCUCGAGUGGCGAACGGGUGAGUAACACGUGAGUAACCUGCCCUUGACUUUGGGAUAACUUCAGGAAACUGGGGCUAAUACCGGAUAGGAGCUCCUGCUGCAUGGUGGGGGUUGGAAAGUUUCGGCGGUUGGGGAUGGACUCGCGGCUUAUCAGCUUGUUGGUGGGGUAGUGGCUUACCAAGGCUUUCACGGGUAGCCGGCCUGAGAGGGUGACCGGCCACAUUGGGACUGAGAUACGGCCCAGACUCCUACGGGAGGCAGCAGUGGGGAAUAUUGCACAAUGGGCGGAAGCCUGAUGCAGCAACGCCGCGUGCGGGAUGACGGCCUUCGGGUUGUAAACCGCUUUCGCCUGUGACGAAGCGUGAGUGACGGUAAUGGGUAAAGAAGCACCGGCUAACUACGU
rnacentral:rRNA from 1 species